UUCAAGUCCCUCUAUCCCCAAMA
rnacentral:tRNA from 1 species